rnacentral:lncRNA from 1 species
CUAAAUACUUAGUGAGGGAGUGGGUAAUUCAAUAUGUUCCUUUCAUCCCUCCAUUAGGAUUUCCAAUUCCAUGCUCCUUGGGUGUGAGCAAGUGUGGGUGGAAUAAAGUGCAAGGAAAAACUCACCAAUCCAAAUACUGAGUAGAAAAUUCAUCGUCUCAUCUGGAUAACUGAAGAGAUGAGCUGAUUGUUCUGCUAAUCACAAUUCAAUCAGCGAAGGUAACUCAAAACAGGAAUUUAACACUAUUAAAUCCACCUAUAAGUUGAAUGUAGAAUCAUACCACUGCUCAGAAUUUGAAGAAAAAAACAGAAUAGGCUAAUGGGACUAAGUUAUCUUCUUUCAAGUUCCAAUCACAUGUCAAGUGCAAGGUAUUCCCAUUCUUCCAACUGCUUCUCAUAGUGAUGGUAUGGACCUACAGACCUUCAGCAUCCUGGAUACCCUCUUCACCAG